AGUAAAACUGGAGGGAAAAAAGAAGGUCUUCGCAGAACGGUCAAGGUCUCGGGCCCUGCACAACCCCAAACAGAGCAGAGAGCUCCGUUGGCCGCAGUGUCGAUGCCAAAUGAACAAACCUUUUAGAAUAUUUGUUUUUUUUUGAAAAAGGAAGAGAGUUUUAUCAGAGCCCAAGCGAGGACACCUGCCGGGGAUACACAAUCUUCACGAAGAAGAGAGCGAAGGAACGUGUGAGACAGGACUGUGUGUGUGUCUGUGCCAUCAAGAAUUAGGAACCCUCAGCAGCAAGGCCAUUCCAGAAAACUGCAGAAAAUUGAUCUCACGCUUGCCGGACGGGCAAGGUCGCAGGCUUCCCGGCUUGGGAACCCAGGGAGAUUUUUACUCUCUAGUUUGAAAUGUUUCUUUGAGGCCACUUGCUAACAAAGCAGAUGUCCGAUGCGAGCUCGGGGCAGAAACAGAGCCCGCGCUUUGAAGUUUGCUGAAGUCGUUGUGACCUUGUGAAGGACAGCAGCAUCUGAGUUGCCAUCCAAGCCAGAAACCCGGGAGUCACCUCGGAAUCCUGUACCCCUUGGUUUCCUCAUCCAGUCCCUCCCACCGACUUAGACCCCUUGCACUUGGUCCCUCUCGUGUCCUCACUGCCACCCCCACGGCUCAGACUCACAUCACCUCCAGCCUGGACUCCCACAGCAGUCUCCUCCUGGCAUCCUUCUCUCCAGUCCCACCUCCCACAACACUUUUCUGAACAGUCUUAUUUGACUCCAUCCUUUCGUUUUCCAGAACCACCAGCCCCCAGUGUCAGGAUAUACACACACACGCACGCACACACACACACACACGCACACACCCCACAGCCAUCACCACCACCAAUGCCCACGCCAGUGCCUAUCCAUUUGCUCUUUCACUCACACGGCUCCUUCUACCCAGAAUCACCACUCCCCUCAUGGGAGCAUGAGGUAAGGAAUAACUCACAAAGUCGACUGGGCUUUUUGUCCCUUGUGCCUCAUGGAUAGUAUUAAUGAGAUCUGCGGGCUCAUCUUUGUUCCGUCCUUACACCAUCACGAAUACCCCGCAGCCCCAUGACAAAUUAUCGCAUUCGUUGCUUUACACAAAAUAUUAAAUUGGGAUGAAAUUUAAAUUCUAGAGAAUACAUCGAAAAAUUUUAAAUAAUUCCCUGAGCUACAAAAUAAGAAUAAUAACCGUAACCUACCUCAUAGGAUCACAUGAGAAUUAAAGAACACAGGCAAAGUGUAUAGACCAGCGUCCCCUCUAUGAUAAGGGCUGAACAAGUGUCAGCAUAACUGUCAUUGUGUAGCAACUGAUAGAAAAUAAUACAACCGACGCUUAUGAAUCCGCUUUCAAUAUUAAACUACAUGAAGAUCUUAGAAUAUUUGCUUCAUGUUCUUCUUUUUUAAAAGAAAGAAAACACUACAGAUACGGCUAAAAUACUGAAGCCAGCCUCAGCCUUCCCGUUCCUCCCUCCUCUCUUCCCUACAGUUAAUCGACAUCCUAGAAGCAGUGAAUUUCAUACCAAUGCAUGUUUAAUUAUCUGUGUGCUUUUAUUUUCUAAUUAUAUUAAUAGCACUA